rnacentral:lncRNA from 1 species
GGGGAGGAACGCGCACCUGAGUGCGGGCACCGGGGGGGGGCGAGGGGGGAGGGGCUGCCCCUCACUGUGCGUGUCGUCACCCCCCCCCCAAUCCCUGCGUCCCCGCGCUGCCCCUCAGCCUCGUGUGUGCCUCCUGUAUUCCCAUAUUCCUAUAUCCCGUAUAUCCCCAUAUAUCCCAUAUAUCCCUAUAUAUCCCAUAUCCCCAUAUCCCCAUAUAUCCCCAUAUAUCCCCAAAUAUCCCCAUAUAUCCCAUAUCCCCAUAUAUUCCCAUAUAUACCCAUAUCCCCAUAUCCCAUAUAUCCCCAUAUAUCCCCAUAUGUACCCAUAUAUACCCAUAUCCCCAUAUCCCUAUAUAUCCCCAUAUCCCCAUAUAUCCCCAUAUCCCAUAUAUCCCCAUAUAUCCCAUAUCCCCAUAUAUUCCCAUAUAUACCCAUAUAUCCCCAUAUUCCCAUAUCCCCAUAUCCCUAUAUAUCCCCAUAUAUCCCCAUAUAUCCCCAUACCCCCAAUAUAUCCCCAUAUAUCCCCAUAUCCCCAUAUAUCCCCAUAUUCCCAUAUGCCCAUAUCCCCACAUGUCCCCAUAUAUCCCAUAUCCCUACAUGUCCCCCUAUAUCCCCAUAUCUCCCCAUAUAUUCCCAUGCAUCCCCACAUCCCCAUACAUCCCAUAUCCCCAUAUCCCUAUAUAUCCCCAUAUAUCCCCAUAUAUCCCCACAUCCCCAUAUCUCCCUGUGUGCCCAUAUCUCCCCAUAUAUAUCCCAUAGAACCCCAUAUCCCCAUAUCCCCAUUUAUCCCAUAUUCCUAUAUCUCCCUGUGUCUCCAUAUCCCCAUAUAUCCCCAUAUCCCCAUAUCCCCAUAUAUCCCAGUGUUCCCAUAUCCCCAUAUAUCCUCAUAUAUCCCAUAUCCCCAUAUAUCCCCAUGUAUCCCCAUAUAUCCCCAUAUAUCCCAUAUCCCCAUAUAUCCCCAUAUGUCCCCAUAUAUCCCCAUACCCCCAUAUCCCUGUGCCCCCAUGCCCUCAUAGCCCCAUUUCCCCAGUGUCACCGUGUCCCUGUAUCCCUGUAUCCCUGUGUCCCCACAUCACUGUAUCCCCAUGUUCCCAUAUCCACGUGUCCCCAUAUCCCCGUAUCCCCGCAUCCCCAUAUCCCCACACGCCCUUAUCCUCACUUCCUUACAUCCUCACAUCCCCAUGAUCCUAUAUCCCUAUGUCCCCAUAUGCCCGUAUCCUUCCAGCCCCAAAUCCCCAUAUCCCCGUGUUGCUGUCCCCCUGUAUCCCCCUGUAUCCCCCUGUAUCCCCCUGUAUCCCCCUGUAUCCCCACAUCCCCUCUAUGUUCACACCCCCAACGUCCCCAUUUCCACCCCAUGGUCGGGGUCACCCAAAGGCUCUGCCCCCAAGACCUGGGGUUGCCCCAUUUGGGUUGGGGGUGA